AACGAACGCUGGCGGCAUGCCUAACACAUGCAAGUCGAACGAGACCUUCGGGUCUAGUGGCGCACGGGUGCGUAACACGUGGGAAUUUGCCUCGGGGUAUGGAAUAACUCAGGGAAACUUGAGCUAAUACCAUAUAAUGUCUUCGGACCAAAGAUUUAUCGCCCUGAGAUAAGCCCGCGUAGGAUUAGCUAGUUGGUGGGUAAAGGCUCACCAAGGCGACGAUCCUUAGCUGGUCUGAGAGGAUGAUCAGCCACACUGGGACUGAGACACGGCCCAGACUCCUACGGGAGGCAGCAGUGGGGAAUAUUGGACAAUGGGCGAAAGCCUGAUCCAGCAAUGCCGCGUGAGUGAUGAAGGCCCUUGGGUUGGUAAAGACGUCUUUACUCGGGACGAGUAAUGACGGUACCGAGAGAA
rnacentral:rRNA from 1 species